rnacentral:lncRNA from 1 species
AGGAAAGUUUAUUAAACCAUUUUGCAACUGAAGCGUCCAGAGAUGAUUAGCCCAAGGUCUUUCAUGACCAAAGACUCAAUAUUCUGGGUCCCAGUGAAGUGCUUGGGUUGCAGUCUGUAUUUUUUCAGCUUCUGUGGGAGGCUGCUUUGCCAGAAACAGGAUAAAACUGAUCACAGACCAAAAGGGCAUCAUAGUGCUUGCAACCAGGCAGUUACUUACACAGGGAACCACAGCCUCACUCAGAGAGAAGACAUUGCUAGCCAGUGAGUUAUCGGCUUGAAAGCUCACUUGCUCUUGUAAGGACUAAAAGGUAGCAUCAGCCAAGAGCACCCAAUGGUCUGUAUUCUGCAUCUGGGUGAGACAAAUUCCACUUGCAUUUAAAAACAUCGGUGCCAAAAUAAAGUAGUAGGACACACGUGGCCCACUGCCCCACUCUGUGCACUGUUGCUGUGAAAUGCUGACAAGAUAGGCACAGUUUCACCUCCAGGAUUAUUUUGCAGAUACCACUUUUCAUAGUUUGCUAGUGAGUUUUCUCACAGUUGCAGAUUUCUCUUCAGUUUCUUGUUAACUGUGGUGUGGUUCUUGCAAACUUUUUGUAUGGUCACUGACUCUUCCCCUUUCAGAAGCAGUGAAGCCAUUGUCAAAAUGGCUCCCAUGAGUCAAAAUGACCCUCGGUGUCUCCUACAGUUUAUCCAACACUCAGGUAUUGCUUGCUUCCAGUGAAAACGGCCGCAACCCACUGCAUUUUUAGACAGACUUGAUCCAGGUUACCCUUUCAGAAGGCACUGUGUUCAUGAAAGUGCAUGUGACAAAGGUAAAAAUGAAAGUGAACCAGGCGGUCAGGGUAUAGGGGACAGAAGUGUGCACAUGCACAUAAUGGGGAGAAGUGGAGGCUGUGUAAUAUGACUGGCAUGGGGGGAAAGUAGCACAAGGAAUGAGGCUGGCACUUCUUUCAACAGUGAUCACUCCUGCCAUUCACUGCUGCUCAAUGCUUAGGCCACUCUGGUGUGUGGGCUUUCAUAGCCUUUGAAAGAGACUAAUGAGGAGGUACUUUACCAACAUGAAAGCACAAGAAUUGCAGGGCUGUGGCAGACGUAUGGGGGCUGUGGUGCAACGUGGUGGAGAAGACAGAGGUGUUAGACUGGCAGUGAUAAAAGAUGAAGGAAUGUCACGCUCAGGGUAGGAGAUGAAAACUUGAGAGGAAAAU